AAGAACAUGUUUAGGUCAGGGCAACUCAUUUUCUGAGCACUGGCUGAUCUACAGGCUUUCCUGCCUGUAGGAAAAUGUGAAGGCUUCAUCACCUCCUCGUUUUAAGUGAGACCUCUCAGCUCCGGAAAAACCAUAUUUAUUACUACGGCGACAAGUUUAAAGAGACAACAGCUGAUUGUCAAAUCAAGCCUCUUCACUGGUGCGCCAUUUGCCUCAUCGCCGUUUUAUGCAUCAUCAAGUUCAGACUGCAUGCUGAACACGGAGAGGGUAAUCCAGGGGUCUCCUUGUGCCUCCAAUCUCCAUCUGCCCCUCCUCCCACUGAACCUUGGCUAGCUUGGCCAUGCUAUGGACAUUCAAUGAAACCCCCUUUCCUCUCCCUUGGAUUCUGUACUUUCCUAUGAGACGUAUGGAUUUACCCUGGACUUUUGGGUGGGUGGGAGUGGGCAAUAUGAUUUCUGAUUCUGUGAAUGUAUUCAGUGUAUCCCUAUAUGUCUCCUUUUUCCCUUAUGUCCCAAUGUAUGAAAUAUUAAGGAUCAUCUCUGUUUGACCUGGUUGGCAGAAAAGUCAACUGCAUUCCUGAGAAGGGAAAUCCUCUCAGAAAGGACACAAUCAAAUACCUUGCAUGAACAAUAGACACUGGUCUUCCCUUUUGAGUCUCGGAGCAGGCCGCUCAAAAGAGGAAUUGAUCACUUGGUUCCUUGUCACAUUCAAAUCUGGGACAAUCUAGCCUUUGGAAAGCCAAGAUUGUCCUGCCUGUCAUUCCUUUUGUCCAUUUACCCAGCCGAACAUAUUAACAAAGAACUCGCCCAUCUGCUCUGCUUCCAGGCUUUGGUAAACCGGAAUCUGGCAAGCCACACCAGACCAAUAUGGAUAUUUUUCACUCACGGAAAUAAUCUUUGGACACCUUGAGGGCUUUUGAGCUAUUGGUGCCAUUAUGUACAGAUUAGACCCACUGAUUCAUUCACUAAUCCACUCGGCAGCCCUUUGUCAAUGGCUCAGACUGCCCUCUCGCUCCUGAUUGGUUGAGGAGCCGAAGCGGGGAUGGCUCUCUGAUUGGGUGAGGCAUUCGCGCCUCUCCUCCAGCUGAUUAUGACAGCCAAUCGGCAUGAGGCCGGCUAGGGAAGGUGUGGUGGGAAGUUCAAAUCUCACCACCCAGUUUCUUUAAUAUAAAGUGUGCUGUAUCCUGUUGUAUGUCAUGUCUUCUUGACAAAUGAUUGCUGUUGACAUCCUAUCCAGCUAGAUCGAAUAAAAUUUGGUGGUCUUCA